CUAGAAGAACCGAAAACAGCUCUAGACAGACCUGCCGUUUUAUAGCACUUUUGGCAGUCAACUUCAGCUUGUGCCUGAGCAGACGGGCUGCAGCGGCCCUCCCGUCAGCUGGGGACGCCAACGCCGCCUCCCUCCCCCAGCUGCAUGCGGACCCUCUCCUAAUUAGCUGGAUUCCCCCGUGCCUGGAGAGGGGUUCGUGGCAGAAAGG
rnacentral:lncRNA from 1 species